rnacentral:sRNA from 1 species
AUAUCAUGGAAAUCAGGACAGUGGCAGUUGGGAUUGUGGCAAUCAAAGGGGUGGAAAGUGAAUUCUAUCUUGCAAUGAACAAGGAAGGAAAACUCUAUGCAAAGAAAGAAUGCAAUGAAGAUUGUAACUUCAAAGAACUAAUUCUGGAAAACCAUUACAAUACAUAUGCAUCAGCUAAAUGGACACACAAUGGAGGGGAAAUGUUUGUUGCCUUAAAUCAAAAGGGGAUUCCUGUAAGAGGAAAAAAAACAAAGAAAGAACAAAAAACAGCCCACUUUCUUCCUAUGGCAAUAACUUAAUUGCCUAUGGUAUAUAAAGAACCAGUUCCAGCAGGGAGAUUUCCUUAAGUGGACUGUUUUCUUUCUUCUCAAAAUUUUCUUCCCUUUUAUUUUUUAGUAAUCAAGAAAGGCUGGAAAACUACUGAAAAACUGAUCAAGCUGGACUUGUGCAUUUAUGUUUGUUUUAAGACACUGCAUUAAAGAAAGAUUUGAAAAGUAUACACAAAAAUCAGAUUUAGUAACUAAAGGUUGUAAAAAAUUGUAAAACUGGUUGUACAAUCGUGAUGUUAGUAAUAGUAAUUUUUUUCUUAAAUUAAUUUACGCUUAAGAGUAUGUUAGAUUUGAUUAUCUGAUAAUGAUUAUUUAAAUAUUCCUAUCUGCUUAUAAAAUGGCUGCUAUAAUAAUAAUAAUGCAGAUGAUGUUAUAUAAGGUAUAUCAGACCUACAGGCUGCUGGCAGGAUUUGUCAGAUAAUCAAGCCACACUAACUAUGGAAAAUGAGCAGCAUUUUAAAUGCUUUCUAGUGAAAAAUUAUAAUCUACUUAAACUCGAAUCAGAAAAAAAGAAUAUUCUCAAAAAAAUCUAUUAUGAAAGUCAAUAAAAUAGAUAAUUUAACAAAAGUACAGGAUUAGAACAUGCUUAUACCUAUUAACAAGAACAAAAUUUCGAGUGCUGCUCAAGUGGAAAGGGUAUUGCUAAAAGGAUGUUUCCAAAAAUCUUGUAUAUAAGAUAGCAACAGUGAUUGAUGAUGACACUGUACUUCAUCUUUCUUGCCACAAAAUAACAUUUUAUAAUUCCUCAAAGUAAAAUUGAAAAAUCUUUAAGUUUUUUUCAAGUAACAUAAUCUAUCUUUGUAUAAUUCAUAUUUGGGAAUAUGGCUUUUAAUAAUGUUCUUCCCACAAAUAAUCAUGCUUUUUUCCUGUGGUUACAGCAUUAAACUCUAUUUUAAGUUGUUUUU